rnacentral:tRNA from 1 species
GAGGGUAUAGCUCAGUGGUAGAGCAUGUGCUUUGCAUGCAAAAGGUCCUGGGUUCAAUCCGCAGGUCCUCC